rnacentral:rRNA from 1 species
AUGAUAAUCAGUUCUGCACCAGAGUACCACGAGACACGUGAAACCUUGUGGGAAGCAGGGAGGACCACCUCCCAAGGCUAAAUACUACCUGAUGACCGAUAGUGAAGCAGUACCGUGAGGGAAAGGUGAAAAGAACCCCGGGAGGGGAGUGAAAUAGAACCUGAAACCAUGUGCCUACAACCGAUCAGAGCACCUUAUGUGUGUGAUGAUGUGCUUUUUGUAGAACGAGCCAACGAGUUACGGUAUGUAGCGAGGUUAAGUACUUAAGGUACGGAGCCGAAGGGAAACCGAGUCUUAAUAGGGCGACUAGUUGCAUGCUGUAGACCCGAAACCGGGUGACCUAUCCAUGGCCAGGUUGAAGCGAGGGUAAAACCUCGUGGAGGACCGAACCACGUUGCUGUUGAAAAAGCAUGGGAUGAGCUGUGGAUAGCGGAGAAAUUCCAAUCGAACUCGGAUAUAGCUGGUUCUCCUCGAAAUAGCUUUAGGGCUAGCGUCGGAAAAUGUGAGUAGUGGAGGUAGAGCACUGAAUAGGCUAGGGGGCAUAGCGCUUACCGAACCUUAUCAAACUCCGAAUGCCACAUACUAUCAGUCCGGCAGUCAGACUAUGAAAGAUAAGUUCCAUGGUCAAAAGGGAAACAGCCCAGAUCGUCAGCUAAGGUCCCAAAGUGUAAGUUAAGUGGAAAAGGAUGUGGGAUUUCUAAGACAACUAGGAUGUUGGCUUAGAAGCAGCCACUCAUUAAAAGAGUGCGUAAUAGCUCACUAGUCAAGAGAUCCUGCGCCGAAAAUGUCCGGGGCUCAAACUUACCACCGAAGCUACGGGUUCACGUUUAACGUGAGCGGUAGAGGAGCGUCGUAAUCGGGCUGAAGUCGUACCGUAAGGAGCGGUGGACUGAUUACGAGUGAGAAUGUUGGCAUUAGUAGCGAGAUGUAGGCGAGAAUCCUACAGGCCGAAUAUCUAAGGUUUCCUGAGUAAAGUUUGUCUUCUCAGGGUUAGUCGGGACCUAAGGCGAGGCCGAAAGGCGUAGUCGAUGGACAAUUGGUUGAUAUUCCAAUACCACUAUAAUCGUUAUUAUCGAUGGUGUGACGGAGAAGGAUAGGAUGUGCUAGCUAUUGGAUGCUAGUCUAAGCGUUUAGGGAGUUGGGAUUGGCAAAUCCGUUCCAACAAUUCUGAGGCGUGAUGGGGAAGGUUCUACGGAACCGAAGUAUCUGAUUCCAUGCUUCCAAGAAAAGCAUCUAGAGAGAGAAGUAGUGCCCGUACCGCAAACCGACACAGGUAGAUGAGGAGAGAAUCCUAAGGCCGACGGAAGAAUUGCAGUUAAGGAACUAGGCAAAUUGACCCCGUAACUUCGGGAGAAGGGGUGCCUGAGAAAUCAGGCCGCAGAGAAUAGGCACAAGCAACUGUUUAACAAAAACACAGGUCUCUGCUAAAGCGAAAGCUGAUGUAUAGGGGCUGACGCCUGCCCGGUGCUGGAAGGUUAAGGGGAACACUUAGUGGUAAC